ACGGGUGAGUAACACGUGGGCAACCUGCCCUUGAGACUGGGAUAACUUCGGGAAACCGGAGCUAAUACCGGAUAAUAUAAGGAACCUCCUGGUUCCUUAUUGAAAGAUGGUUUCGGCUAUCACUUAAGGAUGGGCCCGCGGCGCAUUAGCUAGUUGGUGAGGUAACGGCUCACCAAGGCGACGAUGCGUAGCCGACCUGAGAGGGUGAUCGGCCACACUGGGACUGAGACACGGCCCAGACUCCUACGGGAGGCAGCAGUAGGGAAUCUUCCACAAUGGACGAAAGUCUGAUGGAGCAACGCCGCGUGAGUGAUGAAGGCCUUCGGGUCGUAAAGCUCUGUUAUUAGGGAAGAACAAGUGCGAGAGUAACUGCUCGCACCUUGACGGUACCUAACCAGAAAGCCACGGCUAACUACGUGCCAGCAGCCGCGGUAAUACGUAGGUGGCAAGCGUUAUCCGGAAUUAUUGGGCGUAAAGCGCGCGCAGGUGGUUUCUUAAGUCUGAUGUGAAAGCCCACGGCUCAACCGUGGAGGGUCAUUGGAAACUGGGGAACUUGAGUGCAGAAGAGGAAAGUGGAAUUCC
rnacentral:rRNA from 1 species